rnacentral:rRNA from 1 species
AUGGCUAAAGGCCCAAAGGUAUCACACCCCGAGUAUGUUGAUUUCAAUAGUGAUGAAGAUGACUUGCUAGGUGAUGAUGAUUUACUUGUUGACAACUCUAGUGAUGAAUACUAUGAUGAAACAUCAAUUAAUCAUGCUAAUCAAGAUAAAACGAAUGACAAUGAUAAGGAGAAGAUUGAGUCUCUAACUAAAGAACUAAACACUCUUAAGUUAGCUCAUGAAACUAUCUUAGGAGAUCAUCGAGAACUUUUAAGAGCUCAUGAGAGAUUACGCUUUGAAAAGCUCAACCUUGAGCAAGAGCAUGAGUUCUUAAAAGCAAUCAAUGAUGAUCUUCGCAAGAAAAGUUCUUCUUACAUUGCCAAGCGUUUACUCUUAUCCACUUACAUGCCUCAAGUCAAGUCUAGUAACAAGAACAAGAAAGAUUCUUCCUCUAGUAGUAACAAUAAUCAUGCUAAAUCCAAUAUUGUUGCUUCUAGUAGUUCUCUUGAUUCCACUAAUGAUUCUCUUAGCCAAGUUACACUUGAGCAAGAAAAUAUCUUAUUGAAGGGUAUUAUAGAGAAAGGUGUUUACAAGAGCCUUGCCGGAAGUAAGCAAUUCGAGGAAAUUGUACGCAAGCAAGGAAGGCACCGGAAUAAUCAAGGUGUUGGUUUUGAACGAAAGUUCAAUGCCAAUGGAGUUGAGUGGGAAGAAGAUCAAUACCCCAAGACGAAGUUUGUUCCUCAACAAGAGAAGUAUGAUCCUACUUCUCUCAAAGGGACACAAGAUAAAGAUGAUCUUCCACCACAAUACCACAAGCAAAAAGGCAAGGACAAGCUUCAAGAGGAAAUUGAUGCAUUUGAAGAAGCUCCUAAGGCCUUGGUCAAGUGGGUUCCCAAGACUACUUCAAGUUCCACUUCAUCAAGUACAACUACAACACCGAGGAUUCCCAUCAAGAUGGUGUGGAUCCCGAAGAAGAAGAACUAG